UACGUAGGCAGCAAGCGUUGUUCGGAAUUACUGGGCGUAAAGAGUGUGUAGGUGGUGUCGCAAGUUUGGUGUGAAAUCUCCCGGCUUAACUGGGAGGGUGCGCCGAAGACUGCGAUGCUGGAGUAUGGGAGAGGAAAGCGGAAUUCCUGGUGUAGCGGUGAAAUGCGUAGAUAUCAGGAGGAACACCUGCGGUGUAGACGGCUUUCUGGACCAUUACUGACACUGAGACACGAAAGCGUGGGUAGCAAACAGG
rnacentral:rRNA from 1 species